CUACGGGGUGCUGCAGUGGGGAAUAUUGCACAAUGGACGAAAGUCUGAUGCAGCAACGCCGCGUGGAGGAUGACACAUUUCGGUGCGUAAACUCCUUUUAUAUAGGAAGAUAAUGACGGUACUAUAUGAAUAAGCGCCGGCUAACUCCGUGCCAGCAGCCGCGGUAAUACGGAGGGCGCAAGCGUUACUCGGAAUCACUGGGCGUAAAGAGCGUGUAGGCGGAUAGAUAAGUCAGGAGUGAAAUCCUAUGGCUCAACCAUAGAACUGCUCUUGAAACUGUCUAUCUAGAAUAUGGGAGAGGUAGAUGGAAUUUCUGGUGUAGGGGUAAAAUCCGUAGAGAUCAGAAGGAAUACCGAUUGCGAAGGCGAUCUACUGGAACAUUAUUGACGCUGAGACGCGAAAGCGUGGGGAGCAAACAGGAUUAGAUACCCGAGUAGUC
rnacentral:rRNA from 1 species